CUUAUAGCUGUUGGUUAAUGGCUAUGCUAAGGAAAUGUUUCUUCUAAGCUUUUGGUGGAAAGGGACGUUUACCUGCAAUUUUCAUCAAGAGAUAAGAGGUGAGGUUUCAAUUGAAUGCGUGCGGGAAAUUUAUAGGCAUAAGGGUCAUAAUGGUUCUUUAAUGUAAUGAUGGCAAUUGAUAGGCGUUAAGUUCCUACUGGUGAUUAUCGGGACUCUUAUAUUGGAGAUCAGUAGAGAUUUCAUACUAAACCUGCUAAGUAUCCACUUAGGAACAUUGAUUUUCUAGUUGUUGGAAUAUCUUCCAUUAAGAGAAUAUUAUUAAACUGAAUUAAGAAUUCUUAGAUAAAUUGAUGAAAUCAGUACUGACUAGUCUGAGACCUAAGUCAUUCUGCAGGAGAAAUUAUUAGUCAGUAUUUAUGGCUGAUAAUCAGACUCAAGCCAGGCUUUGAUUAUUCUGAGUUUGGUCAAGGAAAUCCAGGCUAUCGUCUAAGUUAGCUUAUUUUUUAGGCCAAAAUAGUUUUAAAUUAGGUAUAGCUUGUCCUUGACAUGACCAAGGGCCUGGUUGGAAGUCUAAGUAUGACAAAGUUUCAUGUAAAAUACCUAAGCCUGCCAAAUACUAUUCUGAUGCCUAACUGUAAAAUAAUGAAACAUAACUUAUAUACCCUUCUUACGUUUUCCCAUGCCUUGUCUCCCACUCUUCCUCCCCCUCCCCUUGUCUCCUCUCCUCCUACUUCUGCUUCUCUCCACUCAGCUCCGUCACCUCAAUAGCAAUUGCCAGUGUCAUGACCCGUUUCUAACUUCAUCCACACUAACUCUGCAAUCAUGCUUUUGCCAUUUUCGCUGCCCCCAACCUCCAUCACCUAUGACUGUCUUCUGUUGCUGGUAGGUUGGGUCUUGGUUGGGAGGGAGAAAGAGAUGUUGGGAAGGGUAAGUAAGAGAGAGACCUAGGGGAGGGAAGGAAAUAAAGCUUUCCUUGAAUGUGUUUUAAACAAAAAAGGACUAAAGUUCUAAAACCUCUACUGUUUUUUUCUUUUUCUUUUUUUUUCCAUCAAUAUGGUGGUAUCUGUGACACCACUAGGGUUUCAAGACACUUUCAACCCUGAACCUCCCCAAGUGGAAGCUCUUUGGAGAGAGGUGCCAAUCGAGCUAACAGUUGUUGGCCCUCUACUAUUUUUUUCUCUUUUUUUGAAUAAAAAUAUUACAAAUCACUCUUUCUGAUUUAAUGCAUGGAUAAAUUACAUGGAAAAUGUUUCUAGAACACGAUAAAAGUCUUCAUGAUGAUUGCAAGUCUUAAAACACAUCAACAGUUUGGUUUUUGCUUAUCAAUAUUUCUAAAUGCCAACCACUUGAGCUAAAAGUCGUUGGCCCUGCACUGUUUUUUCUCUUUUUUCUGUAUUAAAACACUAAAAAUAUCUCUUUCUGAUUUAAUGAAUGUAUAAAUUGCAUGGAAAACUGUUUCUAGAACACAAGAAAAUUCUUCAUGAUGAUGCAAGUUUACAACAUGUCAGCAAUUUACUUUUUGCCUACCAAUACUUCUAAAAGUUAUAUAUGUAUAUUCUCUUUAAGCUAAGCAUAUCAAUCAUAAACCUUGUAUUUAUGCAUGUCAUGGCUUUAUUGCAAAAGUUAUAAAAAAAUGUGGCAUCAUAGAUUUUUUGUGUUUCUUAAGUUAAAAAAAAUAGUUUAAAAAUUUUACUUCUAAUUCAGAAAGUCUCUACGAUAUUGGGCUGCAUAAUAUCAAGCAAAUUACUUGGUUUUACCAGGUUAAGGAACAUGUGUGAUGAAUAUCACAUUACAGACUAUGGUCGAGAAAGGAAUCUCAUAAUUAAUGGCAACUUAAUUAUAUGGAAAGAUGGAAGCAUUUCUAGGUUCCAUUUUUUCUUAACAUAAUAACGACUUUUAUACUUACCUCCUGGACAUACGGUAAGAAGAUGAUGCAAUUAAACCCUACCAGAUACUUUCCAAUAAAACCAACCAAAGAGGUGUUGAUGAAACUAUUUCUUUUGUUAGAUGGUGCUUGAGAAAAUUGCUGUUAAGAUUUUACAAUCCAAAUUAACAGUAGAAUGUUUGGAUCUCAUCCUACAGCUUCAUCAUGUAAUUUGUAUAUGGAAACAUGUGGAACUAUUUUCUAUAGUUUAAAUUGCUUGUUUAUCACUGACAAGUCUCAAGUAUGUAAAGUGAACAAGCUCUUGGAGUUUUUAACUUCUAAAAUGUAAAGAAAAAGAUGUUAUGGAGUUAAUGGAUUUAAAAGCAGGAGAUAUAGUUUUGUAUUUAGCAGGAGACAUAGGUUUGUAUUUUUAACAACCAUUUAUCAAGAUUUGACUAGCAUCCAGCACAUGGGUAGCACGUGCUUAUUGAAAAAGGAAGCCUUGUGCAAGUGUGCCCCAUCAUCUGCUUGACAUUGAUCGCUACUCUUCUCAAAAAGUUUAUUUGGGAACUAUGAAAUGGAAUGCCUCAGAGUCCUACAGUGUGCUGGACUCUUAACCAGAAGGCCCCUGAGGCAUUCUGGACUCGGGGCUUUCUCAUUAUAUAUUGCAAGAUUUAUCAUAUUCAAAGUGUUCUACCUAAAAGGAUCAUUGAAUUAAUAGGUAACAUAUAAAUAUCUUGAAUAAACAAACAUGGUGUCUCUUUCAUUGGACAUUCUAUACAUGGUCUUAAGACAAUGGAAGGUAGGUGUCUUAUAUUUAUGGAUUUUUAUUCUUCAUUCAUCUACCUUACAAUUGACUCUUUCUCUCUCCCUCUCUCUAAUUGACAUUUAUUUUAUAUUUAAAAUUUUGAAAACGAUUUAAAAUUGUCUCAUGAUCCAAAAGUGGAUCCAUGUUCUGAUAUAACAUCCUCUAUGAUUGACAACUAAGUCCUGAUCUUUAUAUCGUUGCUUCAAAAUGAGCGCAUGGGCCUUUCUAAGCAUGUAUCUUUAAAAUAAGCUUCUAUCACUCAUGUCAUUCUCUCUUUUGUUUUUUGGUCAACACAUGUAAGCUGCAUGGUCUAUGGCUGUCUGAAAUUGCUUAUAUUAUAUCAGCAUUUCUAAUCACAAAUUAUGUUUAUGGUGUUGUAUUCCUGCAAGAGAGUCGUUUGUUUGGAUUUCCAUAAAGAUCUCCCACAAUCGCAAAGCUUGUUAACUCACUUCAUUACUAUUUUUUAUAAUAUCACAUUCCUCAUAAGCACUCUACUGGCGCCAUGUUUGCAGAAUAUUUCCAUAAUAGCCUGCUUUAUCAUUGCAAAAUCAUUUUAUGGCUGUAACUUCUUUUAUCUGUAGGAUUUUGUGUUUCUGAAAUAACUUCUAUUGAUUGCUGUUUCCAAUUUUGUCUUGGCAGUGCGAUCUUUUGGAACCGAAGGACGAAAGAAGGAUGGUCCGCAAAUUCCUGCUAGCGACAAAAUCUAUGAGUACAUACUCUUUCGUGGGAGUGAUAUCAAGGUAGACCAACACUUCUGAGUUAGUUGAUUGUUCAGAUAUUAAGAAUAAGUCAGAACUGUGAAAACAAUUAUUGGUCAUGAUUAGAAUUUACAAACAGUCUGCAUGCACGGUAAAUAUUCGUUGCGACAAACUAAGUAGAUGCAAAAUGCACAUCAGAGCCAUUUAUGCAUCUUCUUCCAAACUUCGAUUGAAUGCCCAAUGACAAAUCAACCGAUACUUCUAGGCUUAAGGUUUCCAUUAAAUGCUCUGCCUACUUCUAUUAUGUUCGUGAUUGAUUGUUUCCAUGUGCCUGGCCUAUUAAGUUGAAGUAUCAGUUUUGCUGUUGUUACGUUCAUCUUUGCUUGCUUUUGUAUAUCUUGCAAUUGUUUCUUUUUUCCUAUGAAAUUCAUUGUUAAUUUUUCUAUUUCAAAACCCUCUUUGGUCUUUGCAACACUUGUUUAAGCUCAUUGGCUUUUCACAGGUGCACCUCUUCAUUGAAAUGUCUCUAGCUCCCUCCUUGAUUAAACUGUCACAAUCUGUUAUUUUAUUAAUACAAUUUGAAGAAUCAUUGAUGUAGCAUAUAGAUGUGCAAUUAUCUAGUUGACUUGACACCAUCCACCUGUCUGUGAAAUUAUUGGAAACAUUCCUUUUCCAAUCCUGCCAUUUUCCCAGCCUUUCAUUAUCAAAAAUAUUAAAGCUUUUUAGUAUUGAUUGGGUAUUAACAUGGUAACCAUUUUUUUGUUUUCCUGAAAUUGUGUGCCAUAUACCUCGAACUCAAAGCAGUAUGCAUAUACCUCCUCCUCGGAGCAAUAUGCUAUGUACACCAUCAUUCAUCCAUUAACUUACAGCUUGGUUGCUUGUUUCAUUACUAGUUGCAUCGAUGAUGUGUCAUUCUUUAAAGAUAUUGCUGAAUCUCCAUAUCUGAGCUAAUGCUUUUAUGACGGCAUAUAACUUACUGCAGCUACAAGUUUUUUUUUAUGUUUUUAUUGAUGUUAGAUACUGGCUAAUUCUGUCGAAUAUGAAUUGCGGGAUCAGUAAGAUGAAUCAGUUUUUAAUGAAUGAGUGGUUUCUAGGAAUCUGAAGAGGUAUGGCAUAGUUACAUUCGGAUUAUGCAUGAUAUGGUGUUGUCAUCAUCUCUGCUGUCCCAUGUGUAGGCCAUCUGUUGAAGAACUGAUGGUCCAUAUGAUCUAGUUACUUGGCCGACUUUUUUUUAUUUGCUAUUUUCUACUAAUUAUGCAACAAAAACAUCUAGCCUUUCAAUUUUAUCUUUCUCUGGCUUGCGUGUUAGUAAUCCACUGAUUCAAGUGGUGAACAUCUGUUUGUGAUGGUCCUAAUUUUAAGGAGUGCAGCCCAUCCAUGUCUCUGUCAUGAUGGUGUCUAUUUGUGGGGAUGUUAACUGUUAAUGUUUAUUUCUUUGAAUAAAUGUUGUAUUUAGAAUUCUUAUAAAACAUUAAGAUUUGUUAUUUGAUUAAUGCUGGAGCUUCAAACAUAUUCUCUUGCAUUGGUUUCAGGAUUUACAGGUUAAGUCUUCACCACCUGUUCAGACUGCUCCUAUACACAACGAUCCUGCUAUUAUUCAGGUAAUGCAAGAUGACCUUGCAGAAUAGAGCAUGAAUUAAUUUAAUAAUCUGUGACUCAAUAACAUUGUCAAUGUUGUGCAGUCACAUUACUCUCAUCCUGCAACUGCAUUGACUACUACAAGCUUGCCUCCUGUCGGAAGUGGAACUGCACCUGAUCUUGGUUCCCAUGCAGCUCAACUGGGGCUCCCAAGGCCAACUUUUCAAGGCAGCUUGCCUCAAUAUCAACCUGGGGGAAGCUUAGCAUCAUGGGGCUCCUCACCACCUUUGCCAAAUGCCAAUGGCUCUGGGAUUGCGAUGCCAAUGUAUUGGCAAGGAUAUUAUGCACCCUCAACGGGGCUUCCUCAUUUGCAACAACCACCUUUGCUUCGUCCACCACCUGGACUGCCAAUUCCUCCUUCCAUGCAACAACAAUUGCAAUAUUCUGGAAUGAAUGCAUCAUUACCAUCUGGGUCUCCAAGUUUGUCAGAGAUCCCUCCUCCUUUAUUGCCACCUGGUAGUAGCACCCUUAGUCUAACAUCAUCUAUGUUUCCAUCGACAUUGGCUCCUGCCUAUACCAGUGCAUUAGCUCCUGAAACAUUGGCAAAUCCGAUGCCAAGCAAGCCCUCCAUCACUUCUCAUCCUGCAGCACCUCUUGGUACUAAUUUGCCAUUUGUGCCCCCAUCAACUUCUAGUCUUGAGCCUGCCUCAACUCUCUCUCAGAAUAUGCCAUCCAUCAUCAGUAGGAGACCCAAGACACUUCCUAGUCCCAUUGUUGCUCUUCAAACUAUAUCCCAGGUCAUGCCCUCCGUUAUCGGCUCAUCCAGUUCGAGCCAAGUUGAAUCAUCACUACCCUUGGUAACUCCAAGUCAGCUGUUGCAGCCUGGCCUUUCCAUCCCUACUUCUUCUGAGUCAUUGCAAAUGAGCAACAACGAUGUAGAGAUUAAACCACCAGAAGCUAAGGUUAAACCAUUAUUACCUGAACCAUCUGCAUUGACUCCAGCUGAAAAUAAGGCGCCCAUAUUGCCAUUACCAAAACCAACCAAGCAGAAGGUAUGGCGGUAAAAUGCUUGUUAUCUGUGAACUCCCAUAUUAUGUUUUCUGAACUCACUAACUCCUUAAAUGUCAUUUUGUUUCCACUCAUAUUCUAUAAGUUAAAAGUUCUUUAUAUCUUGUCAUGUUACUAAUUUUGUUAUAAUAAUAUAGACACAUAUCUCCUUUUAACAAUUAAACACACAUCCCGAGAAUGUGGAAUCUGAACAAUUUUUCCCAAAUGCAAACUUCACUUAUGCCAAACCAAAGCCUGCAUGUAGAAGGUGGAGGCUUGACGAGUUGACAUACAAGGUCACAAGAAACAGAGGCUGAAUCAAUUGAGAUGAAUCUUGAUCGGACUCAUUGAUGCCCCUAAAACUCAAGCCUUGUGACAGAUGAGCAAUAAUUAGCCAGUAUGUGCCCCCAUUUUGACACAUUAACUUGAUUGUGAUAAGAAAUAGGAUAUAAGUAAGCUAUUGCAGUUCCCAUAAGUGAUAUAUAACGACAUUUCUUAUAAAAAUGUGAGAGGGUUGGCAAGGCUGGCUCUUGAAGGUGAUGUGUGGAAAUGGUGCCUGAUUGCAAUGAUAAGAGAAUUUUUUCCUGGAUUAGAUGGGCUGAUAUCAGAAAAAAGAAGGCUGUUCUAUGAAAGCCAAGUAUAUCAUGGACAUCAUGUAGAAUGUUGGUGCUCUGACAACUAGUACCGGUCUAGUGGAUAUAAUGAUGAGUCAAUAUUGCAUGCUCGUAGAACAUCUAUCCACUACAAGCUUAUAUGUGGUAAUAUAAUAUUAAAAAGAUGCAUGGAAAACUUGUAGAUAUUACUGUGUGGAAUGAUAGGUUUCGACUUUGUAGCAUUAGGAGUUGAGACGGGAGAUAAUCGUGAUAAUAUUAUCAUGUAUGCAUGAUAAGUAUUACUGAAGGAUACAAUUUGAAACAAUUUUGAUAGGAUCUUUAUGCCCAUGCAAGUGAAUAUAGCAUGAAUGUAUCUACUGGUGGUUUUUAGUUGCUUCUGUAAGAAAAGUACAACAGUUUGAAGACAAAAAAUACUAUGAAAAGUUGACAACGAAGUUGCAACAACAGAGGAUAUAAUGACCACAAAUGCCUACAAUAAGAUUACAUAAUGACUUUAAUAUGUCAGUUAAAUGGCUUGUAGGUUGGUUAUUUUCCCUCUUAAGAGAUGUUGAUAUGCAUAAGAUGUGCAUAAUCAUAGAUCAUUUCUUUGAGAAUCCAAGGGUAAGUGCUCAGCAUGUAGCUGCAAAAUGUUAUGGUCUUAUUGGCAAUUAAGAGUUUGUUUGAAGAAAUGAUGAAGAGCAAUGGAAAGAUGCAAAAAAAACCCCACAAGGCUAUGCUUGUAGCAUAUGAAUUGUAUAUUAGGUUGUUCUCAUAAAGACAUGAAGGAACAAUGAAGAGGUGCUAAAUGGAGACUGAGAUUGAUUUAAUCAGGUGCAAUAAAAGUGUAGAUAAUGCGAUAUUGGUGAGGGAUGGGAAGCUUAAGGUGAACUAUUCUUUUUCAAAAUUAUUCAACUAAGAUUUUAAAAAAGGAAAUAGUUUUCGAGGAAUUAUUUUAAGAGCUUGUUACACAUGUAGAGAUGAUAUUUUUAACUUUCGGAUAUUCAAAAGAAAAACUAACUCAAUAAAACAAUGUUGAAUGUAAUGUUAAAAAUCCAAAUCCUUGUUCCUUUAUAUCUUUUGUUCAUCUUUCUUCUCAUCGUUCACAUUGUAUUGUUUUGGUUUUUCAGACUUCUCUAUCACAUUGUUGAGCCCAGACCAUCUAUGAUUACUUAUACAUUUGCCCUGUAAUUGUGUUGAAUUAGCUUGCCAUUUUGGAUUGCUUCUAAUUUAUAUUAGUGCUUCUUAGCUUCCUUUUGUUAAAUUUCUGUCUGCCAAUUAUGUAAUAUUAUGUGCAGCAUUUCUUAUUUCAAUAUGUGAUUUCAGAUUCAUUGGUCAGAAUUUCACAUGCAUGAAAUCUAGCUACAUGUAGUGGUUCAUGAUUUGCUAUUAAAUUUAGUUUAAAGACUCAAGUUGUAAGGAUGUUUUAUUCAAUUUGGUAAAUAAUUUAUUCUUUAAACUUGAAAAAGUAACUUAUGGACCCUAGUUUUGCAAUACAUUACUAAAAUAAAUACCUCUUAAGGAAGUGGACACAACAAAAGUAAAACAAUUAUGCUUAGAUAAUUAAAAAUAGAAAAGUAGAAAGUUACUCAUCUUAGAGGACUUGUUAGAUACCCUAUUUGGGGUUGCCUAAAGCGGGACAAGGAAUGGAAAGUGGGGAGGGAUGCAGAAAAUAUUGGGUUGUUGAUUUUUCGGGACCAUAUGUUGUGAUACUUUGAUCAUUCCUCAAGCAUUUCAUUUCAAGGCAGUUAUUGAAACAGAAUAUUCAGACCUACUCUAGAAAAUGCGAAGAAAAUACCUCAAAUAUGAUGAUGAUGCAUGUGUAUACCUGUUUUGACAUGUUACAGAUGAAUCUUUGAUCAUUUUAUUCAUGCUUUGCAAGGAAUGAGGGUUAUAUAGUUGAGGAUUCUGGUGCAGUAUUGAUGAAAUUUGAUUCCAUACAAUGACAAGAAUGGAAACAUUUUAGAAACGUAUCCAGUUUACUGUUAUACCUGAUAUAUUAUUUUUAAUGGUUUUCAAGAAAAAUUAAUUUCUAGAUCCGAACAAAACAGGAGCAUAAGUUUUAUCAAAAUCUGUUUAAAUGGAACCAUCCUAUCAUUGGUAUGUGGCUGGCUUACUAUAAAGUUUGGAGGCCAAAUUUUAAUAAGACAAUUUCUGAAAAUGGCUUUGCCGUCCAAGGAGACUACUAAAACGAAAACUAUUACUUCAUAACCAUGUUUUUUCUUGGAUUUUAACUGAUGUGGAACACUAAAAGAACAUCUGAUGCCAUGAUUUACUUUAAUUAUACUUCUGGUACUGUUCAGAAGUAUGUUUUUUAUAAUUGUUUGAAAAAAGGGAUGUUGAUUUUUGUGUUAAAGUAGUUUCCUGUAUCUUUGUUUUACCUUUUUUCUAAACUGUUAGGAUGGAAGACUAGUUCAACGAGGAUGAACAAGUUAAACUCAUUAUCAAUUAUUGUCUUUUAGAUUUUAGUGCUACACACUUGCUUUUAAAAAAAUUCUUUUUUAAAAUGAUAUGGGUUUUGAUAUAUAAAUUGUUUAUCCAGCCAAAUGGAGCUGCCUUGCAGACUUAUCACAGCUCUAGGGGGCGUGGAAGAGGAAGAGGAAAUGGGGUACUGCAUUUCUUUGUUCUUUCAAUUCUUCUAAUUAUUUGUUUUUAUAAUGAGACAAACUUUCUGAGUAGCUUUAUAAGGCAUGAGAUUUCCAUUACUGAUCAUAGGAAAUGUAAAAGCAGAAAACUCAAAUCUCCCACAAUUUCGGUCAUAAGUUUUUAGCAGGCUAAACCAAAAUCCAUGUAAAAUUAAGUUAAUAAUUAUUUCUUAGAUAGUAUUAUGAAUUUUUUAUGCUGCUACCCAAGCUGAGCAUAUAUUGAUAUGUUCAUUAUUUUCCAUGCCGAGCUGGUAGCAACGACUAGAAAUCCAUGGGUUAAGGUUUUGAAUAUCAUAUAACAUUGCAUUAACUUUAAAUCUUCAGCAUAUUUUUCACUUAUGAACUUAGUAACUGAGGUUCAUUUGUGGGUGUCAAAUCUACCUUCCUUUCUUGAAUGGAGUUACAUGUGCUAUGUUUUAACCGUCCGUUCACAAAGAUAUCAGCGAAGUAUGGCAAGCUUUAAAUGCCCUCACACAUUUACUAAAUUUCUUACGACCUCAAGACUUCACUUAGGAUAUCCUUCCUGAUCCUCUAAAACUGCUGUCACCUUGCAGUAAAAUAAGGAAAUGAUUGUCCUGUUUUCUUCAUUGAAAAAAUGGACAGUGGUUUCUCUCCUAAUCUUCCAGUUUUCCUUCAUGAUAUUGUCAUAUAUUCUUGUUGGUAAAACUUUCAAUUCUGGUGACAUUGGAAAUCAACUAACAGAACUUACUAUUAAGUGAUUACAUAAACUUGUGUUAGGAAAACCUACCUUAUUUUUCGAUUCUCAACUUCUUUAAGCAUUCUAUGCCACAUAAGUUUAAGGGCAAGGAGUUCUGUGCUGCACGAAAGAUAAGAACUGCAAACUUGCAAAUAGCCUUUUGAUGAUUCUUAUGCAAAGUCUGCUGAAUAAUUCAAUGUGUUUUCUAAUGCAUGUUGCAGAAAAAUCUAUAAAACACAUUUAUCUUUAGAAGUUGUAUUUUUCAAUAGCUAAUUCUGUUGGAGGACUCUUCAACUGCUUGUGCAAAGGCACCUGCUUCUUAAGUGUUUCUACAUUUCUUUUGAGAGCAUUCACUUUCAUGAACCAGUUCUUGAAUCUGCCCCAUUUCAGAAAACUAAGCUUCUGAUCAAGCGAAAAUAUAGACCUUUUUUUUCUAAGUUUUUUAUGAUUUAUUAUUCGUGACUGUGGCAAUUUUUUCUAUAAGCUAAAAAUUGUUCCACGAAUCAUUUAUAAUGCAUUUUACUAAUCUCAUAAACAACUCAGGCUAUUUCAAAUUAGAUCAACUUAAUAUCAAUUAGAUUAGUGUGACCUACAUGCAAUAUGUAUAGGCAACAUGAAUACAUAAAUUAGAUGCACAUAGAUGUGCACUUACUUAAACAUUUAUGGAUGGCUUUUCUUGAAGUCUUAGCUUCUCAUUUGUGUCACAAACCCUUAUGUGGAUAAUGUUAUCUAACAUAGUGCCACAUGUUUGUGGUUGCCAGUUGGAAAGUUCCUUGAUCACUGGCUACUGAAUUUGAUUUUAAAUGAUACGGCUUGGUUCCAGUUGGAUAAAUUAAUUCUAGUUUAUUAUUUAUUUAUGCAGGACACAAACAAAAAUUUGAACUAAUGUUUCACCGAUUUAAGAUCAUGUUCAUGAAUUUAAAUAAUGAUUUGUCUAAACUGGAUCUAUGCAAUUGGAAUGCAUACUUCCCCCAUAAUUCUUGCGAACAAUUCUAUAUCUAGCAUAGGUUUUGGACACCCUUUUUUAAGUGUUGUUGUGGCAGCGCAUGUUUAAGAGUAGUUUUCAAAAUUCAGAAGGAUCUGCAGCCUUCCACAUGAUCAUGUGGAAAGUGUGCAUAAGAAGUGUAUACGGACCUUAUUUUUCCAGUUCUUAUUUGAUAUCCUUGUACCUCCCUUUUCCAAACCUUAAGACAUGGGAUUCCUUCAAUAAUCUCCUUCUGUUUCAUACUACCUCUGCUUGUCAAACUAAGCACUAUGAACAAAAACAAGCCACAGUUCUAUCAAUUGGUAGCCAUCUUUAUGGACUUUCGCCAGAAUUCCUAUUUAAUGCUGCAUCCCCUGAAUUUCGAUGUUCCUGAAGUCUAAUAAAUCCUUAUUUGAUCUCUCAAACCCAUGGAAUGCCGUACCGGUCCGUACCGGCCGGUACGUACCGGUCCGGCCGUGGACCNNNNNNNNNNNNNNNNNNNNUUUUUGAAACCACCGAGUACCGGCCGGUACGGACCGGACCGGUACCGUACCGGUCCGGCCGGCCACCGGUACGCCGACCGGUACCGGUACCGUACCGGUCCGGCCGGCCACCGGUACGCCGACCGGUACCGGUACGGCGGACCUUGCUCAAACCUUUUUCUGGAACCUUUACUUUAAAGAUGUUUGAACUAAUUCUACCAAAGAUUUUGAACGAAGCACCUAAAAUUUAAUGAAAUCCCUAAUUUUCGA
rnacentral:lncRNA from 1 species